rnacentral:rRNA from 1 species
GAUGAACGCUAGCGGGAGGCCUAAUACAUGCAAGUCGAAGGACAUCUUCGGAUGGACUGGCGCACGGGUGAGUAACGCGUACACUACCUACCUUAUACAGGGGGACAGCCUUUGGAAACGGAGAUUAAUACCCCAUGGUACCGAGAGGUUAAAGCAUUAGCGGUAUAAGAUGGGUGUGCGUGUCAUUAGAUAGUUGGUAAGGUAACGGCUUACCAAGUCUACGAUGACUAGGGGGCGUGAGAGCGUGACCCCCCACACGGGUACUGAGACACGGACCCG